ACUCUUUCCCUGUUGCACUACUGUGGGAGCUGCAGCAAAGCAGUGCAAUAAUGAAAGGGCAU
rnacentral:pre_miRNA from 1 species